CCGUCAAAGUCGGUGGGCGGAUCCUAACACCUGAUUGGUUACCCUGCACAUCAAGUCAAGGCAAAUCGAUUCCAGAUAACGGAUUGAUGCAGAGCUUGUGAACACAUUCCGAUACACUUGGGUGGUGCUAUUCACCUCUACGUUGGUUUGGAUACUCUAUUAAACAAAACUUUAUUGGCAACCGCUAAAGACUCGGUCCUCUUGCCCAAAUGUUGAUACAGCGCGGUGCAAGACAAAAUUUCCUUUAGCACCUACUCGGCUCGCCACGGCUCGUCUCGGUUUAGUUGUUUUUCCAUUACAUUGAGUACCACCUCAUCGUGGGUGGAGUCGUCAUAGCACGGCGGCCCGGAAGUCCCUUACCGUCAUUUGUGUGCGACACAAACGCAACACAACAAUGGACAUGGAGGUGAUGGUACACCUGCUGCUCGGUCUGUGGCUUUCUGUCAGAUUCAAAGUAAUAGAAGAGUCGGAGAAAGCUGAGAGCGGCGAGUCGAAACACUCAGGAGACACACAGGAGAGUUUGGGAGGCGAUGCAGCAGUAUCAAGCUGAAGACAAGAGGAUAUGAACUAGACGACAUGUGAGGAUGCUCUCUGAUGAGACUUCAUGGGAUUUACCUGAAGCAGCAGCACAUGAGCCUGCAGUGGCACAAAGUGUAGAGGAGGAGGGCAGAGAUGUACAAGAUGCACUGAUGCAGGACGUGUCAUGCAAAAAUUAAGUUAUACUUCGGUUUUUCGGUCCCCGGACCGCUAUUAGUUUUCUUGAAUGCAAUUCUGACAAUAAACUUUUGUACCUUUUGCAGA